UACAGAGGUCCCAAGCGUUAUUCGGAAUCACUGGGCUUAAAGGGUGCGUAGGCUGCGCUGCAAGUUGGGGGUGAAAUCCCUCGGCUUAACCGAGGAACUGCGCCCAAAACUGCUGUGCUCGAGGGAGAUAGAGGUGAGCGGAACUUAGGGUGGAGCGGUGAAAUGCGUUGAUAUCCUAAGGAACACCGGUGGCGAAAGCGGCUCACUGGAUCUCUUCUGACGCUGAGGCACGAAAGCUAGGGUAGCGAACGGG
rnacentral:rRNA from 1 species